ACGGGUAGCGCUAGUGCUAUUCCUCUUGAUUGGGCGUAAAGGGUGUGUAGGUGGUAUAAUAAGUUAGAAGUUAAAAACUAUGCUGAUCAAUUGUAAAUUUCUAAAACUAUUAUGCUUGAGUAAUAAUAAAGAUGAUGGAACUUCACGCAUCAGAGUUAAAAUGCGUUUACACGAGAGGGAACCCCAAAGGCGAAGGCAAUCAUCUAAUUAUUUCUGACACUGAGACACGAAGGCAUGGGAAUCAAAUAGGA
rnacentral:rRNA from 1 species